UGUAAAAUACAUUUUAUCGUAAUUUAGGAAACUGGAUCGAAUCCCGAAUCUUUCUCAGUUUUCUUUGAAGAUGAAUUUCGAGAUCGAUUUCUACUCAUUUUUUGCGCUACCCUAUUCACCUUCUAUUACCUUCUCACAUCUGUAUCAGCCUCCAAUUGGUUUUCAUGGGUAUAUUUCGUCGAAUUUGUAUAUUUCCAGUCGCCGGUUGCUUUCUUGCACAGAGCCAUAAGACGCUGCCUCCGUCAGAGAUUCGUCGGUUGAAUUUCGAGAAAUUCCCGCAGCCGCCGAUCCACUCUUUCAGUAAGUCGCCGGUUGCUUCACAAAAUCCACGCCGCCACCGCCGGAUCUUAUAGAAAUUCAUCGGAUGUUGAAUUCUCAUCCACCCUGCCGCAAGAAUUUUCAGAGUCGGCGAUUACAGCAAUGGAUCGGCGGAACGUAAAACGUAUUUUUUUUAUUGUUUAUUUUAUUUUAAGGAUUGGGAAACUACGAUUCAUAUAUCUUGUUAUACCAAUUAAUGAUAUUAAUUUCAUGAUUAAUCCCUAAUAUUUUGAUUUGUAGUUCGUAUAAUCUGAAGGCAUUGAUACGUAUAUUUUGAUUUGUUUGCCUUUCAACUUUUCUUUAGUUUGAUGUAUAAAUUGACUACAAUAUUGUUUCUAUCUGGGUCUGUAAUCAUCUUUUAUUUGGGAAUAAUUCGUUUGUUCAUGUAAUUCCAUUUAUGAUUACAACUAAAUAUAUUGUUCAUGUAAUUCUGUUUAUGAUUACAACCAAAUAAAUUCUGAUACUGUAUGUGCUAUAGAAAAUUUUAUAUAUAUGUGUGUUAUUUGAUUGUAAAAGGGACGUAUAAAGGAUAUUUUUAUAUAUGAUAUUGUUGAGUUCAUUAAAAUCCAAUAUUAGGUUCAAUAAAUAUGAUGUUGACUUUCAGUAUUCGCGGCUGAUUGAAGUCAUCUGUUAUGGGGGAUGCUCCAGCAAUCUUGGAUGAAGAUGAAAUAUUUGCCAUGUUUAAGUUUUCAUCAAACAGAAAAAAUAAGAGCUCUAAUUUACCUGCUAUUUGAUCUCUAUGUCCAUUUUCUGCAUCAAAGUUUUGUUAAAAGCUAAGAUAAUGCUUUCCUCGAAUUAUUUCACAAAAUUUGUAGCCUCUCUAUUUUUCCACGGUGUUAGUGUCUUUGCCUUCUCAAUAAUCUUUAUAGCAACAACUGCUUGGAGAGUGUUGGCAUUUUUGCAUUUGAAAUAGUAAUCUUGGUCCAAUUUAUUUAUUAGUUUAUGUGCUUGACUGAGGAUUGUUACUUGUCAAAAAUAAACAUUUUGUUAAUUAUCACAUGAUGAAUCUCAUAUUGUUAAAAUCUGCUUAUUCUUUGACAUAUGAAACCUGAUUCAGAUUGUUUAAUGAUUAUGCUCCAAUAUUGGCAUAAACAAAGGGAAAAGCGCCACCAAACCUUGUUGAAAAGGCCAAGGAAGGCAAUGAAUCAAUGAAACACAAAUCACAUAAUCAUAGAGAGACUCAUGGAAGGAGUGAUGAUAUUGAUGAGAGCACAC
rnacentral:lncRNA from 1 species